rnacentral:rRNA from 1 species
UACCAGCUCUUCGAGUGGUGUGGAUGUUUAUUGGGCCUAAAGCAUCCGUAGCUGGCUGGGCAAGUCCCCUGUUAAAUCCACCGAUUUAAUCGUUGGAGUGCGGGGGAUACUGUUCGGCUAGGGGACGGGAGAGGCAGACGGUAUUUUCGGGGUAGGGGUGAAAUCCUAUAAUCCCGGGAAGACCACCAGUGGCGAAGGCUGUCUGCUAGAACGCGCCCGACGGUGAGGGAUGAAAGCUGGGGGAGCGAACCGGAUUAGAUACCCGGGUGGUCCCAGCUGUAAACGAUGCAGGCUAGGUGUUUGGGCGGCCACGUGCCGCUCUAGUGCCGCAGGGAAGCCGUUAAGCCUGCCGCCUGGGGAGUACGGCCGCAAGGCUGAAACUUAAAGGAAUUGGCGGGGAGCACCACAAGGGGUGAAGCUUGCGGUUU